rnacentral:rRNA from 1 species
GACGUGGCGGGGGGCUAUACAUGCAAGUAGAACGCUGAAGAGAGGAGCUUGCUCUUCUUGGAUGAGUUGCGAACGGGUGAGUAACGCGUAGGUAACCUGCCUUGUAGCGGGGGAUAACUAUUGGAAACGAUAGCUAAUACCGCAUAACAAUGGAUGACACAUGUCAUUUAUUUGAAAGGGGCAAUUGCUCCACUACAAGAUGGACCUGCGUUGUAUUAGCUAGUAGGUGAGGUAACGGCUCACCUAGGCGACGAUACAUAGCCGACCUGAGAGGGUGAUCGGCCACACUGGGACUGAGACACGGCCCAGACUCCUACGGGAGGCAGCAGUAGGGAAUCUUCGGCAAUGGGGGCAACCCUGACCGAGCAACGCCGCGUGAGUGAAGAAGGUUUUCGGAUCGUAAAGCUCUGUUGUAAGUCAAGAACGAGUGUGAGAGUGGAAAGUUCACACUGUGACGGUAGCUUACCAGAAAGGGACGGCUAACUACGUGCCAGCAGCCGCGGUAAUACGUAGGUCCCGAGCGUUGUCCGGAUUUAUUGGGCGUAAAGCGAGCGCAGGCGGUUUGAUAAGUCUGAAGUUAAAGGCUGUGGCUCAACCAUAGUUCGCUUUGGAAACUGUCAAACUUGAGUGCAGAAGGGGAGAGUGGAAUUCCAUGUGUAGCGGUGAAAUGCGUAGAUAUAUGGAGGAACACCGGUGGCGAAAGCGGCUCUCUGGUCUGUAACUGACGCUGAGGCUCGAAAGCGUGGGGAGCGAACAGGAUUAGAUACCCUGGUAGUCCACGCCGUAAACGAUGAGUGCUAGGUGUUGGAUCCUUUCCGGGAUUCAGUGCCGCAGCUAACGCAUUAAGCACUCCGCCUGGGGAGUACGACCGCAAGGUUGAAACUCAAAGGAAUUGACGGGGGCCCGCACAAGCGGUGGAGCAUGUGGUUUAAUUCGAAGCAACGCGAAGAACCUUACCAGGUCUUGACAUCCCGAUGCUAUUUCUAGAGAUAGAAAGUUACUUCGGUACAUCGGUGACAGGUGGUGCAUGGUUGUCGUCAGCUCGUGUCGUGAGAUGUUGGGUUAAGUCCCGCAACGAGCGCAACCCCUAUUGUUAGUUGCCAUCAUUCAGUUGGGCACUCUAGCGAGACUGCCGGUAAUAAACCGGAGGAAGGUGGGGAUGACGUCAAAUCAUCAUGCCCCUUAUGACCUGGGCUACACACGUGCUACAAUGGUUGGUACAACGAGUUGCGAGUCGGUGACGGCAAGCUAAUCUCUUAAAGCCAAUCUCAGUUCGGAUUGUAGGCUGCAACUCGCCUACAUGAAGUCGGAAUCGCUAGUAAUCGCGGAUCAGCACGCCGCGGUGAAUACGUUCCCGGGCCUUGUACACACCGCCCGUCACACCACGAGAGUUUGUAACACCCGAAGUCGGUGAGGUAACCUUUUGGAGCCAGCCGCGUAAGGUGCAUAGGAGGUGG